CAGCACAUGAUGCAUACAUUCAUGUAAGCUACACAUUUGAGACAUUUAUAAGAUCACUGCAGAUCUGUAUGUCACUGAAAACUAUUCAAGACCACGGGAUUUUUGAACACUACUGUCAUGUGUCCAACAAACUUUUUAGCAACGCCUGCGGGAGCGCUCGUCACGCAAAAACAGCGUCUGCGUAGGAGGUUAGCGUUAAACCUGAUUAAAUGUUUCUUUCCCCACUGUCUUCUCACCAACUUCUCCUGUAGAAAGAUAAAAUAUCAAGUGUUCAACAGAGUAAAGAACAAAUGAAGUACGCUAUUCUUUGUAUGGUAGGAAUGCACUAUUUCAGGACGUACCCUUGAUUCGGACAUCUUGGAGGUACCUUAUUCAGGUGUGUAUUUGAGACCGGGGGAUUCUGGGCCUUGAUAUUUGCAUUGCAAAAGAUGCAGGACAAGCGAGUGUACCUGUCCCAGGAAAUGUCAGCUGAGCAAGUCGUAGCUCAAAUAAAUAACUGGGACGCAGUAUAUAGUGGUACAACUCUGAGGUCAGCUUUACGAAGACUUUUGCCGAGAGCGAUGCUCGCAAACCAUUCCGGAAGCAUAAACAGUGAUGAGAACGUCAGGGGUCGUUUGAAUGAGCUGGAAGACACGGCAACGAGUUCCAGGUCUUCUUUUGCAGAUAUCUUUGACAGUACAAGCAUUGAGAUUAGGGAUCAGGACUUUCAUGAAAAAGGAGAUUUCAAUGAAACAACAAAUCUGCUGCUGACGUGUAAACGUCAGGUUAUUUAUCCAUAUUUUUACAUGCUCUCAUUGGUAUCCUGGAGACCAUUCCACAUUCAGUCUUACCAUUAUCAAGGAUGUUCUGUACGAAAAAUCCUCAACAUUUUGUACACGCUGUUUAUAUUUCUGCUGAUUAUUUUUAGUUAUGCAUCAAGUAUUAUAGCAUGCCAAGCAAGGCUGGAGAUCAAAUCUGAGUCUACUUUAGCUCCAACAGUAACGAUAAAGCCUACAAAAGUACAACCAACGACACACAGGAACAUCAGCACAACACCUAAAACAAAUCAUUCAAAUGUAACUACAGCAGCUACACCUACUCAUACCAUGGAACAGUACAAAAUUAUUAACAGCAACAAUUCUGAAGUUUUCACCACCUCUAGUAAUGCAUCAAACUGGAAUAAUCUUACUUCAAGUGUUGUUCCUUCAACAUUGGGAAGCAAGACAGGAACUCCUGAAGUUAUUUCAUUUGUGACCAUUCUUACUCUGGCCAAGGCUGGACCAAUUUGGAAACCUGCUGUGACUGAGUGUACCCAUAUAGUUAGCACGUAUGUGGUGCCAGAUCUUCUUCACUUCAUGGCAUUUUUGCUUGGGUUUUACAUGUUUAGAAUCCAGGAAAAUGAAGGUCUCCAUGCACUGAUAGAAAAGGUUUUCUUGCUUAGUUCAGUACCCAAAAAGAUUGUCUCAAGGUUGCGGUUCUUUCUGUUUGGAGGCAUUGUUAUGGCAAUUCUUGGUGUUGGUAAUUUUAUACUCUUCUGUUUUGCCUUCUCUUUGGCCUCAGUAACAGGAUUUAGAUACAACCCAAGUGCCCAGUGGGCAGUAGUUUGUCUGAUGGUGUUGGGUCAAAUUGUGGAGCUAUGUGUCAGUGUUGUGACCAUUGUCAACUAUUGUGCACAAUGUGAACUGCUGAUAUUCUAUCUUCGAGAAAUUGGCUUGAGAAUGGAGGAAAAAACUAAAGAUUUGAGCAUUAUAAUGAAGGAUGUUCUUGAGGUAAAGAAAAACCUCUCUAGGGUGAAUGGACUUAUCUCUGUGAUUGCAACUCUGGUUGUGUUCAACUACUUUGAACUUGCUGUGAUAGGAGUCCUUAACUUGGCUCUGGAACUUUCCCACGUAGAAUGUAAAACUCAGCUGAUGUAUAGAGUGUUUGCUCCAUUGAUCUAUUUCACAUUGGUUAUUUUCCCUAUUACCAUACAAGCAACACGAAGUGCGUAAACUUGACAUGGUUACCCUUAGAAUUCAAGUGUCAAGCAUCUUUGCCUUAAAGCAGGCCGCACGCUUGACAGCUGCUGCACGUCAUUUCAAACAGAGAAGUCUUCAGACCAGAGUAUUUGGAUAUCCUUCUGCCUCAC
rnacentral:misc_RNA from 1 species